UACGUAGGCAGCAAGCGUUGUUCGGAGUUACUGGGCGUAAAGGGUGUGUAGGCGGUUCCUUAAGUUUGCUGUGAAAUCUCCCGGCUUAACCGGGAGGGUGCGGUGAAUACUGAGGGACUAGAGUACGGGAGAGGAAAGUGGAAUUCCCAGUGUAGCGGUGAAAUGCGUAGAUAUUGGGAGGAACACCAGUGGCGAAGGCGGCUCACUGGACCGGAACUGACGCUGAGGCGCGAAAGCGUGGGGAGCAAACAGG
rnacentral:rRNA from 1 species